UAGUCCAUGCUGUAAACGAUGAAACUAGCUGUUGGACCCUUUAAGGGUUUGUGGCGAAGCUAACGCGAUAAGUUUUCCGCCUGGGGAGUACGACCGCAAGGUUAAAACUCAAAUGAAUUGACGGGAGCCCGCACAAGCGGUGGAGCAUGUGGUUUAAUUCGAUGCAACGCGAAGAACCUUACCUACACUUGACAUCCUCGGAAUUUAGCAGAGAUGCUUUAGUGCCUUCGGGAACCGAGUGACAGGUGCUGCAUGGCUGUCGUCAGCUCGUAUCGUGAGAUGUUGGGUUAAGUCCCGUAACGAGCGCAACCCUUAUCUUUAGUUGCCAGCACGUAAUGGUGGGGACUCUAGAGAGACUGCCAGUGAUAAACUGGAGGAAGGUGGGGACGACGUCAAGUCAUCAUGGGCCCUUACGUGUAGGGGCUACACACGUGCUACAAUGGGUCGGUACAAAAGGGUUGCCAACCCGCGAGGGGGGAGCUAAUCCAAUAAAGCCGAUCGUAGUCCGGGAUUGGGAGUCUGCAAC
rnacentral:rRNA from 1 species